GAAGGUAUAGCUCAGUGGUAAUGUGUGCUUAGCAUGCACGAGGUCCUGAGUUCAAUCCCCAGUACCUCCA
rnacentral:tRNA from 1 species